UUGUAAGUGGGAGGUACGCUAUGGGUACAC
rnacentral:piRNA from 1 species